ACCACUUUGUUAUUCAUGACUGGGGUGAAGUCGUAACAAGGUAACCGUAGGGGAACCUGCGGUUGGAUCACCUCCUUA
rnacentral:rRNA from 1 species